rnacentral:misc_RNA from 1 species
AGCAGCCGCGGUAAUUCCAGCUCCAAUAGCGUAUAUUAAAGUUGUUGCAGUUAAAAGCUCGUAGUUGAAUUUCGAGACCGGUUUAUUGGUCGUGCUUUUGUACGUACUGGUAUUAUUGGUUUCUCCUUUCUGACGAACUAUAAUGCCAUUAAUUUGGUGUUAUGGGGAAUCAGGACUGUUACUUUGAAAAAAUUAGAGUGUUUAAAGCAGGCUCACGCUUGAAUACAUUAGCAUGGAAUAACGGAAUAGGACGUUUGAUUCUAUUUUGUUGGUUUCUAGGAUCGACGUAAUGAUUAAUAGGGAUAGUUGGGGGCAUUAGUAUUCAAUUGUCAGAGGUGAAAUUCUUGGAUUUAUUGAAGACUAACUACUGCGAAAGCAUUUGCCAAGGAUGUUUUCAUUAGUCAAGAACGAAAGUUAGGGGAUCGAAGACGAUCAGAUACCGUCGUAGUCUUAACCAUAAAUUAUGCCGACUAGGGAUCGGAUGAUGUUAAUUUUUUAAUGACUCAUUCGGCGCCUUACG